rfam:Octopus bimaculoides Scaffold265999_contig_1, whole genome shotgun sequence.
GGAGAAUUAGCUCAGUUGGUAGACCGCUACCUUUGCAUGCGAGAGGUACCGGGUUCGAUUCCUGGAUUCUCCA